rnacentral:rRNA from 1 species
UACGUAGGGUGCAAGCGUUAUCCGGAAUUAUUGGGCGUAAAGAGCUCGUAGGCGGUCUGUCGCGUCUGCUGUGAAAUCUGGGGGCUCAACCCCCAGCCUGCAGUGGGUACGGGCAGACUAGAGUGCGGUAGGGGAGAUUGGAACUCCUGGUGUAGCGGUGGAAUGCGCAGAUAUCAGGAAGAACACCGAUGGCGAAGGCGGGUCUCUGGGCAGUAACUGACGCUGAGGAGCGAAAGCGUGGGGAGCGAACAGG